rnacentral:rRNA from 1 species
CCCUUAGAUGUCCUGGGCUGCACGCGCGCUACACUGGAAGUUACGGAUUGAGAUACUACCUUGUCCGAAAUGGUCCGGGUAAUCACCUAAAAGCUUGUCAUAAUUGGAAUGGAUUAUUGUAACUAGUAAUCCUGAACGAGGAAUUCCUAGUAAGUCCCAGUCAACAGCUGGUACUGAUUACGUCCCCGCCCUUUGUACACACCGCCCGUCGCUACUACUGAUUGGACGUUUAAGCAAGAUUUUUAAACACUGACAGUGUGUAGUUCACGCUAUACUACAGUGAGAAGAAGAAGAUCGAGCUUACUUGUCUAGAGGAAGUAAAAGUCGUAACA